CUUUGUUAGCAAAUAAUUAACAAAAUUCUCUGCUCAAUGCUCAAUAACGUCAAUAGCUGCAGACAUCUGUACUAAGGUAGCAUAAUCAUUAGUCUCUUAAUUGGAGAAUAGAAUGAAAGAGAUAACUAUUAUUGUAUUAUAUUAUAAUUAUUAAAUAAAUCUGGUUUUAAUAUAAAAAAAUAUUAAUAUAAUAGAAAGACAAUAAGACCCUGACGAACUUAAACAAAAUAUGUUUUACUGGGGAAGUAAUAUAAUUAAAACUUAUAAAAAACUCUCAACUAUAAACGAAGAUACUUACAUAAGGAACAAGUUACCGCAGGGUUAACAGCAUAAUUAAACUUUAGAGCUAUAUCAAAAAGUAUAUAUUAUGACCUCGAUGUUGAAUAAAUAACUAAUAUGAAUAAAAUCAUUACAAGUAGGUCUGUUCGACCUUUAAUUUUUUACG
rnacentral:rRNA from 1 species